rnacentral:sRNA from 1 species
CUUUUUCCUAAUAUUCUAGUGUUUUGAAGCUGCUACACGUGAUUGAUUUCGAGCUACUUUUUAAAAAAACUCCUCCUUUGUACAAAACAAAACCGAAAUUCUUCAAAACGAAUUAAGUCACUUGCGAGUUUGAAUGGAAGCUGGACGAAAUUGCCUCCUCCAGUUAACGUGGAACCCAUUCCCCAAGAGGUGGAGGUUCUGGAGAGCAAGAGAUGAGAAGAACCUGAACUAAGGCAGAGUCAAGGAAGGAGGACAGCAGAGGCAGGAUUGUGGAGAUAAUAUUUAAAUACAAAGAAAAUAGAACUUCCAAAGAAACUGGCAAAACGCUAUCCCGCAUAUGAGUUGUAUCUUUAUGGAGAGGGAUCCUAUGCUGAAGAACACAAAAUUCUCCCUUUGACGGGUAUUCCAGUUCUCUUUCUUCCUGGUAAUGCUGGAAGUUAUAAGCAAGUUCGUUCUAUUGGCUCCAUUGCACUUAGAAAAGCAGAGGACAUUGACUUCAAGUACCACUUUGACUUCUUUAGUGUGAACUUCAAUGAAGAACUGGUGGCUUUGUAUGGUGGAAGUCUUCAGAAGCAGACCAAGUUUGUACAUGAAUGUAUUAAAACAAUUCUCAAACUCUAUAAGGGUCAAGAAUUUGCUCCAAAAAGUGUGGCAAUAAUUGGUCAUUCUAUGGGUGGCCUUGUUGCAAGAGCAUUGCUUACACUGAAAAAUUUUAAGCAUGAUCUGAUAAAUCUUCUUAUUACACAAGCCACACCUCAUGUUGCUCCUGUGAUGCCAUUAGAUCGUUUCAUUACAGAUUUUUAUACGACUGUAAACAACUAUUGGAUUCUAAAUGCUCGACACAUAAAUUUAACCACACUUUCUGUAGCUGGAGGAUUCCGGGAUUACCAAGUUCGUUCAGGAUUGACUUUUCUACCAAAAUUAAGCCAUCAUACCAGUGCCUUAUCUGUUGUGAGUUCAGCAGUGCCUAAGACCUGGGUCUCAACAGACCACCUCUCCAUUGUGUGGUGUAAACAAUUGCAGUUGACUACAGUUCGAGCAUUCUUUGAUCUUAUUGAUGCUGAUACUAAACAAAUAACUCAAAAUUCCAAGAAGAAACUGUCAGUUUUGAAUCACCACUUUAUAAGACACCCAUCAAAACAUUUUGAGGAAAAUCCAGCUAUAAUUUCUGACUUAACAGGAAUCUGAGAAGAUAUAUUUUACAUUUCCUCUUGAAAAUCAUAGA